rnacentral:rRNA from 1 species
GACGAACGCUGGCGGCGUGCUUAACACAUGCAAGUCGAACGGAAAGGCCCUGCUUUUGUGGGGUGCUCGAGUGGCGAACGGGUGAGUAACACGUGAGUAACCUGCCCUUGACUUUGGGAUAACUUCAGGAAACCGGGGCUAAUACCGGAUAGGAGCUCCUGCUGCAUGGUGGGGGUUGGAAAGUUUCGGCGGUUGGGGAUGGACUCGCGGCUUAUCAGCUUGUUGGUGGGGUAGUGGCUUACCAAGGCUUUGAUGGGUAGCCGGCCUGAGAGGGUGACCGGCCACAUUGGGACUGAGAUACGGCCCAGACUCCUACGGGAGGCAGCAGUGGGGAAUAUUGCACAAUGGGCGGAAGCCUGAUGCAGCAACGCCGCGUGCGGGAUGACGGCCUUCGGGUUGUAAACCGCUUUCGCCUGUGACGAAGCGUGAGUGACGGUAAUGGGUAAAGAAGCACCGGCUAACUACGUG